UGUCAUCUCUCCCAGCCUCCCUCCGUGCCGACCCGCCUCGCACGUGUGGAUCCCGAGGCUCUGCCCAGCCUGGGGUCAGCUCCAGGAAGCUGGCUGCCAGCCCCACCUGCCAGUUUCCACGGCGACACUCGCCAGCACUGAGCCUGCCGCAGCAUCCGUCCCUGUUUGGUUGUGAGUGUUGGCUCCAUGCCCCAAGGGACUGCACUGUGCUGCUGUGCACAGAGUGAUGCCAGGAGAUCGUUUUUGGUACCCCUGUUUUGGAGAUAAGGAAACUGAUGAUCAGAAGGGCUCCAUGACUUGCCCAGGGUCACACUCCGGCUGCCCUGGUCCUCAUCACAGCAAAAAGCACCAUCGAACACGCUGCUGCCCAAAAGAUCCAAACUCCCUCGCCUGACCUACAAGACCCUGAGGAGCUGAAGCUACACUCCAGGCUUCUGCGGGGAGACAUUCCAGUCAGGAGCUGUAGUGCUGACCCUUUUGAAGUUCUUCUCCCAAGGCCCUCCCAGUGCACGGCCUGUGCUGAUCGCCUUGUAAGAAGCUCUCCGGGGCACCUGACCCUCAGCAUUACCUCAUCUGAGAAGAGAGGAGACCUCAGUGUGUCAAGGGAAGGCUCGGGAUUGGUGCAGAUGGGAAGGAAAUAGAUGGAUAGGAUGACUCCAAGAGGCUUGGCAAGUCUGGGGUAUUACUCUCUCCCCAGCCCAGCUAGAAUCUCUGGGGAGAUGCUGAAGGACACUGGGCCCCACUUGGCAAGGGAAGCAGGACGAGGAUUUUGCUUGGAAAUUUUCACCUUCUUUUACUUCUGGUCAUUGUUUGAGGCUGGACAGUGCUUUCCAGAAGCCACAGAAUAGGGAAUUUACAGGCUACAGUUAGGAAGCCUUGUGCCUUCCCUACAUGCUGCAUGCUACAAUUUCCCUCCUCCGUGGAAAUGGAGAACCUGGAGAUCCUCCCACCACAAAGCCCUUUGUGCUCGUGAGAGCUGAGCCCUGUGAAAACAAUACAAAUGCAUAUUUAUCAAGCCUUUAUCGUGUACCAACCAUCCUCAAUGCUUUAAUGCCUAAAGUAAUUUAUUGUUCACGAUAGUCCUUGGAGAGGGUAUUAUUUGAUGAGAUGAGGGUUUGGAGCUCCUAUCUCCCUGACCCUGCUCUGCCAGGGUGGCAGGAGGUGUGGGAAAGCCUUUCCCCACCUCUAACCCCUUUUGGAGCUGAAGUCUCUGCAUUCCCCAGGAAAGCACCCUAAAGACAAUCAGGGGCAAUCCUGCGGAGACCACCUCUUUGGUGCUAUUCUGCUAUAGAUACAGCUGGAGUUGACACAAGUUCCACAAUCUUAGGUAUGACCGACAGUAGCUAUCAGAAUGGUGCCUGGAAUAUGGUGGGCAUUUUAAAAAAUAUGCGGUGAAUAAGUGAAUUUAUUGAGCAUCUACUUAGUGUCAGUGCUCGAGAAGAUAAUUUGCACACCUUGUCUCAUUUAAGCCACACACAAACCCCUAAGUAGCUAUUGUGAAUUCUAUUUAACAGAUGAGGAAAUAGCAGCUCAGAGAGAAUAAGUAGCUUAACCGAGGCCAAACAACUAAUAAAUGUUGAAGCUGAGAUUUGUCCCUAGGACUGUUUGACUUGCCUCUAACAGCUUAGGUGCUUGAUUAAUACUUGUUAGGCGGCAAAUGAAAACUGGGCCACUGACAGCUCUGCCUGGGAUAAAAACACCAACAUCGUGCAUCCAGCCCCUUGGGAAGAUGCGUUCUGGCGGUGGGAGAGGAUCUGGAACAUGGCUACUGCUUGGUUUCUUAGCUUUCCCCACCCCCAGCCCCCUGGCUUUCAAUUUAGCCCUAUCCACUCUGCUAAUGGAUGACCCACGCUCCCAACUUCCCCCCAAGCCCUGCCUAAGCUGCAGCUGUGAAAUCGUAGUGACAGAUCCGGUUUAGUUCCCAGGAUGAGCCCGUGAUUAUGUCUGCCUCAGCAGGGAGGUGACCGCUUCUCCAUCCUUGCCCUGUGACAAAUGAGCUCUCGUUCUCAUUCAGGUAAUUCCGACACACCACCUCCUCCAUCAAGCCUUCCUGGCUUGACUAAAUGUUGGCUGUCAGCUGACAGAAGUCCUUCCAUCCACCCAGAGAAAGCUUUGGACCCAGAUUUCAGCCAGAGUCUGUCCCUGUCUUCUUGGAUUAUUGACGGGACAUCUCUGUGAGGGUUUAGCUCCCAGCAAGGAAGUCUCCCUAUUGAUCCCGAGGGAAGCCCUCUUUCAAGCAGGAGCUGUCUGGCAGAGCCUAAUUCACCAGCUCCCAUUUCCAAAGGGCCUCAUGGGGUAAACCCAGUAGUCGAGGGUGUUUUGUACGAAGUGAAGGGGCAGAAGGGAGCAGGGAGGAGAGAGAGAGAGACAGAGAGAGAAAGAAUUUGGGGCGUAAAAGCUUCCUUUAAAAGGAGGCAGGGAACGUUUCCUAGGGGACGUUCUGCUGAGGGUCACUGGAUAAACCAAAACAACCAGAGUCUGCACCCCGGGUUCCAAUGAAGAUGUGCUGUAACUCCAGCCUCAGAGAUUUCGGCACACGGAGGAACUUUAUGUUUAGAUUUUGGGAUUCUUCCAGACUUCAGCUGUGAAAAUCCCUUUCCCUCCCUCAGUGCAGUCUCAGGAACUUGGAAUAAAGAGUUUUUGAGAUCACGUUAAAAGCCUACUCAUUUUACAGAUUAGAAAACCGAGGCCCCAAGUGUUGCUUCAGGCCCGCAGCGGGUCCCUCCCUGUAGGCAGCUCACGCCUCCCCAUGUUCAUGGAGGGAGGCUGGCGGCAGGAAGGGGCCUUGGGGCCAGGACAGAACACUUCGUGCCUCUCAUUCCUCCCCUGUCCUCUCCUUUCCCGCUUCCUGAGGCAGUAUUUCCAGGCUGGCAGAGCAGGGUGGGGUGCAGAGAAGGCUCUGCAGGGAAGGGGGGCCUGCAGGGCCAGGGUAGACACCAGUGACAAGAGCAAUUUAUUUCCUGGGCACACAGAUUAGACGGCAACUGAGAAAUUCUCCCUCUGCCAUCCAUCAGCUGGCCACCUCCAGCGGCCUCCGUGGGGUCAGGAUAUUUGUCUUGACUGCACUGCUCUGCCACUUUACUUGUGCUCCCGUGGCUCAAGCCAUACCAGAGACCCCCAAACCAGCAGAAGGAAUCAAACCCAAAGCUUGUUCACAAAGCUAGUACCUUAUACACUGCACCUGUCUGCUCCCACCCUGGGCUGCACAGACUCCCCGAAGGACAUGAUGUAUUUCCUCAGGGCCUGCAGGGAACAAGGGGCUUCUCUUAGUGCACUGCACUGGAUGGGAAGGGAGUAGCCCCUGGAGACUCUGCCCAGGUGUCUGGGCUCAUUGGGAUUUUCCCAGCCUGCUUUGACAAGAGGGUGUUGGAUGAAAGUACUGUUAGCUGAAGGGGUUGGCAAACUUUUCCUAUAAAGGGCCAGACAGUGAAUAUUUUAAGCUUGCAGACCAUAAGGCCUCUGUCACAACCUCUCAGCUCUGCCACUGUAGUGCAAAAGCAGCCACAGACAAUAUAUAAAUAAAUCAAGUAGCCGCAUUCCAAUAAAACUUUAUUUAUAAAAAACAGGUGACUGGCCAUAUGCAAAUGUCUCAAACUCUUAGGAAUUUGGAGAGCCUUCCCCUUCUUAGGAAGACAUAUCAACUAAUAAUUAUCAUGAUAAAUUUUACAAUGAAAAGCUGGAAAUCAAGAAAUGAGGCCACUGGGGUUUACCCUAAAUUCUAAUACAGGGAACCUAUGCAUUGUCUCACCAAGUCUGAGAAACCAAUGGGUCUGCUUUUUCGUGGAUUUGGGGCUAUUAUCUCUUGCAACAUCUUUAAUCAGUGUUGGACAGGAGUGUGUAGGAGUUCAGAGAACAGGCUCUGCAGUCUAUCGAUCCUUAUUCUACUACUAACUGUAUGACCUUAACCUCACUUGUCUCAGUUUCCUCUUCUGUACAAUGGGGACAAUAGCAAUUUACCCUCGCAGGAUCAUGGUGGAGCUGAAUGAGUUAUUACAGGUAAUGCGCUAUGCCUGGCUCAUGGUCAGUCCUCAGAUGUUGCCAGAUGCUAGAACUGAUCCAGAUCCGUCACUAAACACUGCCCGGGGCUGGCUAAUCUUCGGUGAUGUGAGAGGUUGAGGUGCGAGGACACUGUCCCUGUUAGACGGGCAAUAGGUGACCAUCCUCAGCCAGGUACCUUGGCAUUGGGCAUUGGGAUUUCUCUUUUGCCUUUGCCUAUUUUUAUUAGAAUAGAAUUAUAACAAGGAGAAGGAGAAAAAGGACAUGGAAACUACAUUUAUUGAGUUGCUACACUGGGCUGGGCAGGGUUAAGUGCUUUACACAUUUUAUUUCAUAAAAUCCACACAAUAACCCUGUGAGGUAGACAUUUGUGUCCUUGCUUUAUAGACAAAGAAAUUAAGUCUCAGAAAGGUUAUGUGACGUGGUCAAGGUCACGCAGACUGCCUAAUUACAAGUUCAUUCUUUCAUCAAAUAUUGCUUUUUCAGCAACUAUAUGUCAGACAGACAUAAUUUGUGAAACAGAGACAGAUAAAACCAGCUCAUGGUCGAGAUGGGGGAGAUGAGAAUUUAAAUCAAUUAUUAAGGUGGAUUUGAUUACAAAGGAAAGUUUGGGGAACCAGAAAGUCUUCACCAAGGAGGAGGUACUCAAACUGAGUCUUGAAGGAUGAAUGGGAGUCUACUGGGAGGGCAAGGAGAAAUAACAUCAUAUGCAAACACACAGGCAUUAAGUAACAUGGUUCUUUGGAGAACAGACAUUCAUUGCUCUGGAGGGUUGCCGGGGCAAGCAGUGGGCAAAGAGGUUGGAGAGGCAGGUCCCAAGGGGUUUAGGGAAGCCCUUGUGGGUCAUGAGGAAGAGUUUGAACUUGGUCUGCAUGCAAUGUGGGGGGCAUCUAAAGGGUUUUAAGCAGGGCAGCAACAGAACCAAAUUAUGUUUUAGAAAUAAAUAAUGAAGGUUGGUCUGGAAGGUGAAUGGGGCAGGAAACAGGAAGACCCUCUGAAAGACAACCAAAAUAAUCCAGGGGAAAAAUGAUGAGGGGGUUAGCUAAAAAGUGGCAGUGUGUCUAGGGGGGGAUAAGUCUGGUUUGGAAGAUAUUGA